CCAUAUACCAUGUCUUAUCAGUGGUCCCUGUCUCCCUUCUUGUACAAUCCAGAGGAAUAUUUUUAUCAACUAUUUUGUAAAUGCAAGUUUUUUAGUAGCUCUAGAAACAUUUUUAAGAAGGAGGGAAUCCCACCUCAUCCCAUUUUUUAAGUGUAAAUGCUUUUUUUUUUUUUUUAAGAGGUGAAAUCAUUUGCUGGUUGUUUAUUUUUUGGUACAACCAGAAAAUAGUGUGGGAUAUUGAAUUAUGGGAGG
rnacentral:lncRNA from 1 species